AGGUAAGCUACUAAGAGCGAAUGGUGGAUGCCUUGACUGGUAAAGGCGAUGAAGGACGUACUAGACUGCGAUAAGCUACGGGGAGCUGUCAAGAAGCUUUGAUCCGUAGAUUUCCGAAUGGGGCAACCCAAUGUAUAGAGAUAUACAUUACCUAUAUAGGAGCGAACGAGGGGAAUUGAAACAUCUUAGUACCCUCAGGAAAAGAAAUCAAUAGAGAUUGCGUCAGUAGCGGCGAGCGAAAGCGCAAGAGGGCAAACCCAGUGCUUGCACUGGGGGUUGUAGGACUGCAAUGUGCAAGAGCUGAGUUUAGCAGAACAUUCUGGAAAGUAUAGCCAUAGAGGGUGAUAGUCCCGUAUGCGAAAAACAAAGCUUAGCUAGCAGUAUCCUGAGUAGGGCGGGACACGAGGAAUCCUGUCUGAAUCCGGGUCGACCACGAUCCAACCCUAAAUACUAAUACCAGAUCGAUAGUGCACAAGUACCGUGAGGGAAAGGUGAAAAGAACUGAGGUGAUCAGAGUGAAAUAGAACCUGAAACCAUUUGCUUACAAUCAUUCAGAGCACUAUGUAGCAAUACAGUGUGAUGGACUGCCUUUUGCAUAAUGAGCCUGCGAGUUGUGGUGUCUGGCAAGGUUAAGCAAACGCGAAGCCGUAGCGAAAGCGAGUCUGAAUAGGGCGCUUAGUCAGAUGCUGCAGACCCGAAACGAAGUGAUCUAUCCAUGAGCAAGUUGAAGCUAGUGUAAGAACUAGUGGAGGACUGAACCCAUAGGCGUUGAAAAGCCCCGGGAUGACUUGUGGAUAGGGGUGAAAGGCCAAUCAAACUUCGUGAUAGCUGGUUCUCUCCGAAAUAUAUUUAGGUAUAGCGUUGUGUCGUAAUAUAAGGGGGUAGAGCACUGAAUGGGCUAGGGCAUACACCAAUGUACCAAACCCUAUCAAACUCCGAAUACCUUAUAUGUAAUCACAGCAGUCAGGCGGCGAGUGAUAAAAUCCGUCGUCAAGAGGGAAACAACCCAGACUACCAGCUAAGGUCCCUAAAUCUUACUUAAGUGGAAAACGAUGUGAAGUUACUUAAACAACCAGGAGGUUGGCUUAGAAGCAGCCAUCCUUUAAAGAAAGCGUAAUAGCUCACUGGUCUAGUGAUUUUGCGCGGAAAAUAUAACGGGGCUAAAGUAAGUACCGAAGCUGUAGACUUAGUUUACUAAGUGGUAGGAGAGCGUUCUAUUUGCGUCGAAGGUAUACCGGUAAGGAGUGCUGGAGCGAAUAGAAGUGAGCAUGCAGGCAUGAGUAGCGAUAAUUAAUGUGAGAAUCAUUAACGCCGUAAACCCAAGGUUUCCUACGCGAUGCUCGUCAUCGUAGGGUUAGUCGGGUCCUAAGUCGAGUCCGAAAGGGGUAGACGAUGGCAAAUUGGUUAAUAUUCCAAUACCAACAUUAGUGUGCGAUGGAAGGACGCUUAGGGCUAAGGGGGCUAGCGGAUGGAAGUGCUAGUCUAAGGUCGUAGGAGGUUAUACAGGAAAAUCCGUAUAACAAUACUCCGAGAACUGAAAGGCUUUUUGAAGUCUUCGGAUGGAUAGAAGAACCCCUGAUGCCGUCGAGCCAAGAAAAGUUUCUAAGUUUAGCUAAUGUUGCCCGUACCGUAAACCGACACAGGUGGGUGGGAUGAGUAUUCUAAGGCGCGUGGAAGAACUCUCUUUAAGGAACUCUGCAAAAUAGCACCGUAUCUUCGGUAUAAGGUGUGGUUAGCUUCGUACUAGGAUUUACUCCGAAAGCGAAGAAACUUACAACAAAGAGUCCCUCCCGACUGUUUACCAAAAACACAGCACUCUGCUAACUCGUAAGAGGAUGUAUAGGGUGUGACGCCUGCCCGGUGCUCGAAGGUUAAUUGAUGGGGUUAGCAUUAGCGAAGCUCUUGAUCGAAGCCCGAGUAAACGGCGGCCGUAACUAUAACGGUCCUAAGGUAGCGAAAUUCCUUGUCGGUUAAAUACCGACCUGCAUGAAUGGCGUAACGAGAUGGGAGCUGUCUCAAAGAGGGAUCCAGUGAAAUUGUAGUGGAGGUGAAAAUUCCUCCUACCCGCGGCAAGACGGAAAGACCCCGUGGACCUUUACUACAGCUUGACACUGCUACUUGGAUAAGAAUGUGCAGGAUAGGUGGGAGGCUUUGA
rnacentral:rRNA from 1 species